AAGUCGUAACAAGGUUUCCGUAGGUGAACCUGCGGAAAGAUCAUUAACACGUAUCCAAACGUCAAAACCCCCCCCGUGAACCUUCAUCCUGCUCUUGUAACCCGCGUAGUUCGCAAUCUCUGAUAAAUCAUAGCCCGGAAAGUUGUCCCCUAAUAACCCCACAGUUUCAUGUGAAGCUCAAUGUAAUACAUUGGGUAAAAAAACCGAACAACUGUUAACAAUGGAUAUCUUGGUUCUC
rnacentral:misc_RNA from 1 species